rnacentral:lncRNA from 1 species
GCAGAAAUAGCAUAAAUAAUUAAUUAAACAUAAGAACCAUAAAUAAAACAGUAUGCAAUGAUAUCAAACAGUAACUGUCACAAAUAACCACCAUAAGGGAGACACAAUCCAAUACACAAAUUAUCUAUGGGUAGCCCUGCCAAGACUCACCCAACCUCGGAUGAGGAGUACGAAAAACUCUAGGAGCCCCUAUCCUACAACCCUGAUACUAG